AUGCCAUGCCCGCCGCCAUGGAUGAACUCCACCUCGCUGCGUUGCCCCAGCCCUCUACAGUGCCUGGAUCCGGCAAGUUCCGUGGUGGAGCGCCAUGGCCGCGCCCGUGCUUCCGUGCUCGGCGAGGCCCUGGUCGUGCGCGCCGUCGUGGAGCACCAUGGCCACACCCGUGCUUGCGGCGCCCGCUGGGAGGCCCUGGCCGCGCCCGUCGUGGAGCGCCAUGGCCACGCCCGUGUUCGCCGCGCCCGCCGGGACGCCCUGGCCGCGCCCGUGCUCAAGCAAGCAGCAACCGGCGGCGGAAGCAAGCUCCAGCAGUCGGUCACCGGCGCUCCCGUCUGGGCCGUGGACGCGACUUCCUGCACCAUACCUUGUCGCGGGAGGACGAGACGCGGCGAGGUGGACGCUGUACGUUGA
rnacentral:rRNA from 1 species